UACGUAGGGUGCAAGCGUUAAUCGGAAUUACUGGGCGUAAAGCGUGCGCAGGCGGUUUUGUAAGUCUGUCGUGAAAUCCCCGGGCUCAACCUGGGAAUUGCGAUGGAGACUGCAAGGCUAGAAUCUGGCAGAGGGGGGUAGAAUUCCACGUGUAGCAGUGAAAUGCGUAGAGAUGUGGAGGAACACCGAUGGCGAGGGCAGCCCCCUGGGUCAAGAUUGACGCUCAUGCACGAAAGCGUGGGGAGCAAACAGG
rnacentral:rRNA from 1 species